rnacentral:lncRNA from 1 species
GGUCAGCCUGGGCCACAUGAGACCUUGUGUCAAAACCAUAAUUUUUAAAAUUGCUUUAAAACAAGUGGGUGUCAAGGUGCUUUGUGCAAAGGCGCCUGCUCACAGCUUCUCGUCCUUUCUGUCUUCCAGAACUUGACAGCCCAGAAGAGUUGGGGACAAAGCGCAUCUGCAGGAUCAUCACGAAGGAUUUCCCCCAGUAUUUUGCCGUGGUUUCCCGGAUUAAGCAGGAAAGCAACCAGAUCGGUCCUGAGGGUGGGAUUCUGAGCAGCACCACCGUGCCCCUGGUCCAGGCAUCUUUCCCAGAGGGUGCCUUAACCAAAAGGAUCCGAGUGGGUCUCCAGGCUCAGCCUGUUCCAGAGGAGAUUGUGAAAAAGAUUCUUGGAAACAAAGCAACAUUUAGCCCAAUUGUCACUGUGGAACCAAGGAGAAGGAAAUUCCAUAAGCCAAUCACCAUGACCAUUCCGGUGCCCCCACCCUCAGGAGAAGGCGUGUCCAAUGGGUACAAGGGGGACAACACACCCAACCUUCGUCUCCUCUGUAGCAUAACAGGUUUGGUUCCUUCCCUGUAGUCACUCCUAUCUGUCUGCUGUGACAAAGGUUUAAGAGUAGAAAACAAGGGAUAGGUCAUGUAUUUAUUCUCUUCAGGCCUUUCAAUGGGAAGAAUUUCCACCAGGAACUGGGCUCCUGGAAUAUUUAAACUUCAGGGUUGUUUCCUGAUAUUACGGUAUUAGUAAUCAAGCACUCUCCGUAUUGGUGAGGUGUUAUUGACUCAAACUGGGGUGCUUAGGGAAUUGCUUGGCAACCAUGACAGAGGUAAUCACCCAGCAGCAUCCUUUGGACAAGGGAAGUGAAUGAACUCUGGGAGAAGUUCUUUCGGGGCCUGAUGGGAGGUAUUGAGGAUGCCAUUGGUGUCACCCAGCUGUGCUCAUCAGUGCCACCCAGACCUUAGAACACAUUCUAAAUACUUAGAAUCCAGACCUCAAGACCAAAAGAUGGCUAGCAAGUAAAAGCACUUACAGACAAGCCUGACAACCUGUGUUCAAUACCCAGAACCCACAUGGUAGAAGAACUGAAUCUAACAAGUUCUGAACCUACACACACCACAUACACGCACACACAAAAAGAACUUUAGAAUCCAGACAUCAGUUGAAUCUUGAUUUCCCGAUUGGUCACUGAGAUCAAGUCAAAGAUAAACAAAGUCAAAUUCAUCUUAUUCUUUGAUAUCCAGUUCUUCCUUCUACAAAGGGAAAAGUAAUAUUUCAGUCAAGGACAAAAUGAGCAGCUUCCUAAACUUUCUUGAUAAUUCCCACCCCACUUUAAAAAAAUAAAUAAAUAAACAAAACCUAUUUGAGAGGCUAGGGAGAUGGCUUGGUUAGUGAAAUGCCUGCUGUGUAAGAAUGAUCCACAGGACCCACUUGUCUGUAACUGCAGCACAGGGGAUGGAGGAGAAAGGCAGGCAGAUCUAUCUCUGAGCUCACUGGCUGACCAGCCUAGUUGAAUCAGUGAGCUCCAAAUUCAGUGAAAGAUCCUAUUUCAAAAAAUAAGGUGGACAAUGAAGGAAGACACCUGAUGUCAUCCUCUGGCCCGUAGACACGUGUGGGUAAGGCAUUCAUGCACCCACACCCACUAGCACAUGCAUGCCCGAAACUACUAAGUCUUUGCAGUGACAGAUUACCCCAAGUUUAAACUACCCCUUGUGAUCCAGAGAGAAAAUAAUAUAUAUGUAUUUGUGAAUUCCCAUGAACUCCCUGUAAGCAGGUAAGACCAUGAAGGAGAGCAGAGCCGGUCACCUUUAUAGCACGGCAGAACCCAAAGCACUAUAGCUGGCCUCUCUCUCAGUGGCUGCCAGAACAGCAAGGCAAUGGGACAGUCUGCAGGGAGAACUUAAUGAUAAAGUCACUCUGUCCAUGCUGUUCCCAGGGGGCACCUCGCCGGCUCAAUGGGAAGACAUCACAGGAACCACCCCUCUGACCUUCAUAAAGGAGUGUGUGUCUUUCACAACCAAUGUUUCAGCCAGGUAUGGACGUGAAAGUUCCAGAAGCAUCACAGAUUUCAUUUUCUCACGUUUUGGGGAAGUGAGAAAAAAAUGCUGCUGUCAAUACAAUAUAAUUACUUUUAAAUUUAUGGGGGAGGAGAGAAGAUCCUUAAUGUUAUUUCUUUAGAAAAGUUAUUGAGGAAUAAGCUGCUUUUU